GAUGAACGCUGGCGGCGUGCCUAACACAUGCAAGUCGAACGUGAGAGGAUAGCAAUAUUCUUGAAAGUGGCGCACGGGUGAGUAAUACGUAGGUAACCUGCCCUGAAGCGGGGGAUAACAGUUGGAAACGACUGCUAACACCGCAUAUUGCCGGAAUGCUGGGAAGUGUUCUGGUGAAAACUCUGGUGCUUCAGGAGGGGCCUGCGGCCGAUUAGCUAGUUGGCGGGGUAAGAGCCCACCAAGGCGACGAUCGGUAGCUGGUCUGAGAGGACGAUCAGCCACACGGGAACUGAGACACGGUCCCGACUCCUACGGGUGGCUG
rnacentral:rRNA from 1 species